GCGAGUGAAGCGGCAACAGCUCAAAUAUGAAAUCUGGCCUUUCUGGUCCGAGUUGUGAUUUGUAGAAGGUGCUUCGGGCGCGACUCUGGUCAAAGUCCCUUGGAACAGGGCGUCCUAGAGGGUGAGAAUCCCGUACGUGGCCGAGGGUCAAGCUCAUGUGAAGCCCUUUCGACGAGUCGAGUUGUUUGGGAAUGCAGCUCUAAUUGGGUGGUAAAUUUCAUCUAAAGCUAAAUAUCUGCCGGAGACCGAUAGCGCACAAGUAGAGUGAUCGAAAGAUGAAAAGCACUUUGAAAAGAGAGUUAAACAGUACGUGAAAUUGUUGAAAGGGAAGCGCUUGCAACCAGACUUGCUCGCGGGUGCUCAACCGCUCUUUGGGGUGGUGCAUUCUCCCGUGAUCGGGCCAGCAUCGGUUUUGGCGGCUGGAUAAAGGCCCCGGGAAUGUAGCUCCUNNGAGUGUUAUAGCCCGGGGUGCAAUGUGGCCUGCUGAGACCGAGGACUGCGCAUCUGCUAGGAUGCUGGCGUAAUGGUUGCCAGCGACCCGUCUUGAAACACGGACCAAGGAGUCGACCAAUCGAGCGAGUGUGUGGGCGUAAACCCCAUUCGCGUAAUGAAAGUGAAGUAGGUGGGAGCCUUCGGGUGCACCAUCGACCGAUCCUGAUGUCUUCGGAUGGAUUUGAGUACGAGCCCGGCUGGUCGGACCCGAAAGGCUCGUCUAUUCUUUAAGCGUUUUCGAAAAUCGGCUAACAAUUGUUUUAGAUGGUGAACUAUGCGUGAAUAGGGUGAAGCCAGAGGAAACUCUGGUGGAGGCUCGCAGCGGUUCUGACGUGCAAAUCGAUCGUCAAAUUUGCGCAUAGGGGCGAAAGGUAUGUCAUCAAUCAACUUUUGAUCAACUUAAGUACAGUUGGCUAACUUCUAAAGACUAAUCA
rnacentral:rRNA from 1 species